CCUACGGGUGGCAGCAGUGGGGAAUAUUGGACAAUGGGCGAAAGCCUGAUCCAGCCAUGCCGCGUGUGUGAAGAAGGCCUUCGGGUUGUAAAGCACUUUCAGUGGGGAAGAAAGCCUUGGGGCUAAUACCCUCGAGGAAGGACAUCACCCACAGAAGAAGCACCGGCUAACUCCGUGCCAGCAGCCGCGGUAAUACGGAGGGUGCGAGCGUUAAUCGGAAUUACUGGGCGUAAAGCGCGCGUAGGCGGUCUGAUAAGCCGGUUGUGAAAGCCCCGGGCUCAACCUGGGAACGGCAUCCGGAACUGUCAGGCUAGGGUGCAGGAGAGGAAGGUAGAAUUCCCGGUGUAGCGGUGAAAUGCGUAGAGAUCGGGAGGAAUACCAGUGGCGAAGGCGGCCUUCUGGACUGACACUGACGCUGAGGUGCGAAAGCGUGGGUAGCAAACAGGAUUAGAUACCCCAGUAGUC
rnacentral:rRNA from 1 species